rnacentral:misc_RNA from 1 species
GCAAACUUGGUCAUUUAGAGGAAGUAAAAGUCGUAACAAGGUUUCCGUAGGUAAGUAAUCGUCGCUUAAGGGCCCCCUCUUUCCACGCUUUAAAGGACGUGCUAACCCUCCGAUCUUAGGUGAACCUGCGGAAGGAUCAUUACCGAGCGUAGCCCCCCGUAAAAAAGGGGGCACCUCCCGUCCUUUGCAGGCCUCUUUGGGGCUUUACGAUCUUCUGCUUCGGCGGGGUCUCCCGCCGGAACACACUCAAUAAACUCUGGUUUUAAACCGUUCAGUCCGAGACCUAUUUAAAAAGCGGAAAACUUUCAACAACGGAUCUCUUGGUUCUGGCAUCGAUGAAGAACGCAGC